rfam:Myotis brandtii contig303296, whole genome shotgun sequence.
GGCAGUUCUUGGGUGACACACUCUGGAAUCAGGCUCCCUCCUCUUUGGUUCGGGGUGGAUCACCCGAGAACCGCA